rnacentral:rRNA from 1 species
UACGUAGGUGGCAAGCGUUGUCCGGAUUUAUUGGGUUUAAAGGGUGCGUAGGCGGUCUUAUAAGUCAGUGCUGAAAUAUCCCGGCUUAACCGGGAGGGUGGCAUUGAUACUGUAGGACUUGAGUAGAGUUGAGGUGGCGGAAUUGACGGUGUAGCGGUGAAAUGCUUAGAUAUCGUCAAGAACACCGAUAGUGAAGACAGCUAACUAAGCUACUACAUGACGCUGAGGCACGAAAGCGUGGGGGGGAUCAAAACAGGG